AUAAAUUUAAACUAAUUUCUCGGUAUAAUGGGGGUAUAUAUCAAAGAAUCUUACUGCCUGAUCACAUUUGAGGGGAGACAAGUUGCUGAUUAUAAUCGAAGAGUAAAAUCGAAGACUGACAAAGAUAAUGGAUCAACAACAAAAAGCCAACAACGAUAAUCGUUCAAAUCAGUGUAAUCCGAACAACACACGACACCAAGGAUAUGAACCAGGAUUCGGCGGAAAUAAAACAGGAUCGGACCUGAAUAAUCACUCGAAUCAGAUGAAUCCGAAUAACCCGAGAUACCCGCAAGGAAAGAAGUGAACUUGUAACAAAAGAUGAAUGAAUGGAAAUUGAAGAAACAUUAAUUUGAUUUUUAUAAUAAUUAUCAGCUUACAAAAUGAUCAAUUUUUGAGAAUACAAUUGAGUAAAAUUGU